rnacentral:rRNA from 1 species
CCGCACGCGCGUUACACUGACGGAGCCAGCGAGUUCCUCCUUGGCAGAGAUGCCUGGGUAAUCUUGUUAAACUCCGUCGUGCUGGGGAUAGAGCAUUGCAAUUAUUGCUCUUCAACGAGGAAUCCCUAGUAAGCGCAAGUCAUCAGCUUGCGUUGAUUACGU